AUGGAAGACUACUUCGCGGAGGUACCUACAUACCCUCCUCGUCUCUUCCGCAGAAGGUACCGAAUGCGGCGUAGUUUGUUUGUGAAGAUUGUCACUGAUUGUGAGGCCGCCUCCUAUUACUUUAAACGUCGUAGAUCCGCCGCCGGUAUCAUGGGGUUUAGUGCAUAUCAAAAGAUAUCGGCGGCAAUGCGGGUACUCGCUUAUGGCAUACCGGCGGAUUAUACCGACGAGUAUCUUCGCAUUGGGCAAGAUACAACCACGGAGUCAGUCCGUAGGUUUGCCAAGUUGGUCAUCCGGUUGUACGGUGAGCAGUAUCUUCGGGCACCAAACAAGGAAGAUACAAAGAGAUUAAUGGAAAUGAAUGAAAAAAGGGGAUGGCCGGGAUGCUAG
rnacentral:rRNA from 1 species